rnacentral:rRNA from 1 species
UUACCAGGCCUUGACAUGCAGAGAACUUUCCAGAGAUGGAUUGGUGCCUUCGGGAACUCUGACACAGGUGCUGCAUGGCUGUCGUCAGCUCGUGUCGUGAGAUGUUGGGUUAAGUCCCGUAACGAGCGCAACCCUUGUCCUUAGUUACCAGCACGUUAUGGUGGGCACUCUAAGGAGACUGCCGGUGGACAAACCGGAGGAAGGUGGGGAGUGACGUCAAGUCAUCAUGGCCCUUACGGCCUGGGCUACACACGUGCUACAAUGGUCGGUACAAAGGGUUGCCAAGCCGCGAGGUGGAGCUAAUCCCAUAAAACCGAUCGUAGUCCGGAUCGCAGUCUGCAGCUCGACUGCGUGAAGUCGGAAUCGCUAGUAAUCGUGAAUCAGAAUGUCACGGUGAAUACGUUCCCGGGCCUU